AUGAACGCUAGCUACAGGCUUAACACAUGCAAGUCGAGGGGCAGCAUUUUAGUUUGCUUGCAAACUAAAGAUGGCGACCGGCGCACGGGUGAGUAACACGUAUCCAACCUGCCGAUAACUCGGGGAUAGCCUUUCGAAAGAAAGAUUAAUAUCCGAUAGUAUAUUAAAACCGCAUGGUUUUACUAUUAAAGAAUUUCGGUUAUCGAUGGGGAUGCGUUCCAUUAGUUUGUUGGCGGGGUAACGGCCCACCAAGACUACGAUGGAUAGGGGUUCUGAGAGGAAGGUCCCCCACAUUGGAACUGAGACACGGUCCAAACUCCUACGGGAGGCAGCAGUGAGGAAUAUUGGUCAAUGGACGAGAGUCUGAACCAGCCAAGUAGCGUGAAGGAUGACUGCCCUAUGGGUUGUAAACUUCUUUUAUAUGGGAAUAAAGUAUUCCACGUGUGGAAUUUUGUAUGUACCAUAUGAAUAAGGAUCGGCUAACUCCGUGCCAGCAGCCGCGGUAAUACGGAGGAUCCGAGCGUUAUCCGGAUUUAUUGGGUUUAAAGGGAGCGUAGGUGGAUUGUUAAGUCAGUUGUGAAAGUUUGCGGCUCAACCGUAAAAUUGCAGUUGAAACUGGCAGUCUUGAGUACAGUAGAGGUGGGCGGAAUUCGUGGUGUAGCGGUGAAAUGCUUAGAUAUCACGAAGAACUCCGAUUGCGAAGGCAGCUCACUAGACUGCAACUGACACUGAUGCUCGAAAGUGUGGGUAUCAAACAGGAUUAGAUACCCUGGUAGUCCACACAGUAAACGAUGAAUACUCGCUGUUUGCGAUAUACAGUAAGCGGCCAAGCGAAAGCAUUAAGUAUUCCACCUGGGGAGUACGCCGGCAACGGUGAUACUCAAAGGAAUUGACGGGGGCCCGCACAAGCGGAGGAACAUGUGGUUUAAUUCGAUGAUACGCGAGGAACCUUACCCGGGCUUAAAUUGCAUUUGAAUAAUCUGGAAACAGGUUAGCCGCAAGGCAAAUGUGAAGGUGCUGCAUGGUUGUCGUCAGCUCGUGCCGUGAGGUGUCGGCUUAAGUGCCAUAACGAGCGCAACCCUUAUCUUUAGUUACUAACAGGUCAUGCUGAGGACUCUAGAGAGACUGCCGUCGUAAGAUGUGAGGAAGGUGGGGAUGACGUCAAAUCAGCACGGCCCUUACGUCCGGGGCUACACACGUGUUACAAUGGGGGGUACAGAAGGCAGCUACCUGGCGACAGGAUGCUAAUCCCAAAAACCUCUCUCAGUUCGGAUCGAAGUCUGCAACCCGACUUCGUGAAGCUGGAUUCGCUAGUAAUCGCGCAUCAGCCAUGGCGCGGUGAAUACGUUCCCGGGCCUUGUACACACCGCCCGUCAAGCCAUGAAAGCCGGGGGUACCUGAAGUACGUAACCGCAAGGAGCGUCCUAGGGUAAAACUGGUAAUUGGGGCU
rnacentral:rRNA from 1 species